AAACACACAUUUUUGGAAGCAGAUAACAAAACACCAGCAUAGCUUGUGUGCUGCAGCUCAUUCAAGAUGGCUGUGCCUGUCUACCUUUUAAGCAUGGUUCUGUUUUGCCUGUUAAGUGUGGCAGUAAACUGCAUGUUUUCCAAGAGGCUGCAGUUAUGGCAAUGCUGAGAGCGGCCAGCGUCUCACUGAGGAUACCCAAUACUACAGAGCUGCACGUUACCCCAGCCAGCAUGGCCAGGUCCACAGUUCCUCAGCCUGGAGUAGCACUUAAAAAAAAAAAUAUAUAU